UUGGAGGGCAAGUCUGGUGCCAGCAGCCGCGGUAAUUCCAGCUCCAAUAGCGUAUAUUAAAGUUGUUGCAGUUAAAAAGCUCGUAGUUGAAUUUCGGGAUCAAUAUAUUGGUCAUGCUUAGGUAUGUACUGGUAUUAUUGAUUUCUCCCUUCUGAAGAACCAUGAUGUCAUUUAUUUGAUGUCGUGGGGAAUCAGGACUGUUACUUUGAAAAAAUUAGAGUGUUUAAAGCAGGCUUUCGCUUGAAUACAUUAGCAUGGAAUAAUGAAAUAGGACGUUUGAUUCUAUUUUGUUGGUUUCUAGGAUCGACGUAAUGAUUAAUAGGGAUAGUUGGG
rnacentral:rRNA from 1 species